AUGAGCAAGGUGGUGAGAGUACUCACUCCCUUUUUAAGAAUCACGAACACAUGACAAACCAUGUUCGUAAUGACGAAGACCGAGUUGUGAAAAAGUGCGAGCUAGCAACACGGAAAUACCUGUUGAAAGUGAAAUCCAAGCUGUGUGACUGAAAUGGGUCAAUCAUGA